CAUGGCGACAUACACUACCUAAAAAGUAAACAAAACUUCUGACCUACUUAGAAAAUUCACAAAACUAAUCUCUCUUCUAAAUCCUGGAAUCUACACCAUCCGCCAAGCUGAACGAAUGGGAAGACUUCAUCGACGCCUGUUUUAACCGGAUUUGUACCAAGAACGAAGACAAGAAGAAAUUUAAAACUACCAGUUUAACGAUUCACCGAGCAGCCCGGAACUUUCACCAGCGACACCUCCAGGACUUUGUUGCAAAGAAGCAUGGACAACCCACCGUCCCCUCCACCGAGGAAAAGACCUUGAUAUCAGUGGCUGCUCUGCUUUGAAUCUGGCCUGAUUGGGCCACAAAAGGAGUAGACCAAAAUGGCUUUGCCUCAUCCUGGACUGUUGGACAGUGAAAUGAGCCUGAGCUGCGGGGCUACCUCCCAUUUUGGAGGUUAGAUGAUGUCCUGCUUUUACCCAGCACCAUAAAGGAGGAGAAUGUGCAGACUGCAUGUGAACCAGUCCAUCUGCAAAGACAGCUCAGGACGUCACAGCAGAACUCCUGAUGGUCUCACCUCACAGCACCAUGAAUGUAUGAAAAUGCUCCAACCUCUCUCCUCACCGAAUGUGUCGCCCCCCUGCGACUUUGUCUACUUCCCAGAAAUGAAAAUCAGUUUUGGCACACGCCAGAUUUAAAUCAGUUAGGUUCCUGCUUCUGUGUUUCCUGGUACCUGAAUGACAAUGGCGGUGCUUUCAUCCACUGUGAUCACCGUGUAGUUGUGGAUCCCCCCGAGCAUCUGCAGGGAAGGAGAGUGGCUCCUCUCCAGCACCGUCACAUUGAACCUGCGACAGACACGUUUCACCGCACAACUAAACAGCAGCUCACCAUCGCUGGGAGGAAGAAACGUGAUCAAAAAAUGACCUCUGCUGUCUGAAGUAACAGACCCAAGUGUCCCCCAAAAGCUGAUGCUUUUUUGGCAGAGAGGAGAGGAGAGGAGAGGAGAGGAGAGGAGAGGAGAGGAGAGGA